GGAAAGGCAAGGGAACGUUUGGGCAUCUCGUCGGAGAGCCUGUGCUUGGGGAAGGCUGCAAAUGGGAGGGAGAGAGGCAGAACCCAAACCAAAAUUCCUUUGGGAUUAAUAAGCAGAUCCGGUAACAUGCUGUGGCAGUCCCAAAGCACGCGGCACAGACGCUGUCUAUCGUGGCAGAUAGCAUCAGCUUUGAGCCAUCCCUCUUCGGAAGAAAAAGUCUCUUCCUUGCACGUUGGAGUGGGGUUUUCACGAGAAGAGCCAGCCCGUCCCUGCCCUGCCUGGCUGCUGGAGACUCGGUUUUCCAAAUGCAUCUCUUAAUUUGGCCCUGCAAUAUAGAAGACAGUAUUUAGUCCAUGUUUGGGAGAUUUGUGUUUACUGGAAAGGGACUUUUCCUCCUGAGCAAAGGCUGACUGUAAGCAAGAAAAGAGAAGCAAAGCACACGCCUCCGUGUGAACGCCGCAGGUACCACCUAAGAAUUCUGCUUUGCU